rnacentral:rRNA from 1 species
CGCGUAGGCGGAUUGGAAAGUUGGGGUGAAAUCCCGGGGCUCAACCCCGGAACGGCCUCCAAAACUCCCAGUCUUGAGUUCGAGAGAGGUGAGUGGAAUUCCGAGUGUAGAGGUGAAAUUCGUAGAUAUUCGGAGGAACACCAGUGGCGAAGGCGGCUCACUGGCUCGAUACUGACGCUGAGGUGCGAAAGUGUGGGGAGCAAACA